rnacentral:lncRNA from 1 species
AUUAAUCCCUAAUUAUUUUCUUCCUGGAACAGCCUAGAAUCAAGAGUGAAGAAAAGCUAGGAUUCUACAGAUAAGCCCAGCUGCUAUGAAAUUAUUUGAAAAGCCAAAUAUUUACUUAUUUACAAUGGCAAAUUAGUUGGAAUUAUAAGAGGAAUUUACUACACACUGUGCCAUGGUUUGUUAGUAUAAGUUAGAAACAUGGUUAAAGCUAUAGUUUCUUUUAAAUUUUAUAGCUAGGAGAACUGAUCAGUAAUGCUGGGAAUGCAAGCUAAGAGCUUAGCUUUGAUUCUAUCAGGUAACACAUAAAGCUUUCCCCAGCUAGCAUGAACUCCCUAGGAAGCAGUACUUAGACUUUUAAUUCUCAGAUGGUCCAAAGAGGCCAGAAUUGGGUCUAAUUUCAAAUUAAGAAUGCAAAGUAAAUUACAAAGCAUUCUAAACAAAUCUAGGGAUAAACCCAGGGUUACCCUUGGUCAAGAAUUAUUAGGCUUAAGGAUUAGCAAGGUUUUACUUCAUAUCUAACUCUUUCAAAAUAUAUUGGCCAAGCGCAGUAGCUCAUGCCUGUAAUCCCAGCACUUUGGGAAGCCCAGGCAGGUGGAUCACAUGAGGUCAGGAGAUCGAGACCAGCCUGGCUAACAUGGUGAAACCCCGUCUCUACUAAAAAUACAAAAUUAGCCAGGUGUGGUGGCGCAUGCCUGAAGUCCCAGCUACUUGGGAGGCUGAGGCAGGAGAAUCGCUUGAACCCAGGAGGCAGAGGUUGCAGUGAGCCAAGAUUGCGCCAUAGCCUGGGUGACAGGACGAGAACUCCAUCUCAAAAAAAAUAAACAAACUGUCUAGAGGGUAGAGCACAUUAGAGAUGAGUAUGAAACAACACAGCACUGCUUAUAUCCUAGUAACUGAAGCUGCAUAAUACAUACAUGUGAGUUUAUUAUGCUAUUCUAUUUGUAGGUGUACAGAUUGAGUUUCCUUAAUCCAAAAAUCCAA